rnacentral:lncRNA from 1 species
AUGCUGAGCCCCAGAGCUCAGCAACUUCUCUUUAGCAGGUUGGGAGCCAGGAAAGGGUGGCACUGGCUGCCCAGGAGCCCCCCUUCACUGCCCCACUGGUGGGCGCACAGUGGUGACCGUCUGGAAGGCCAGUUCCACCCAGAUAGUCACCAGACAUUCCCCCCUGGCCUUGAGAGGCCUCAGGAGUGCAGACACGAGACACUUGUGUCCCACAGCCUGCAUCUCUCAGUCUUGGCACACAUUAGCUGCCCACACAGGCCCUCUGACCACUUUGCCGGGCUGGCCUCAGGAUCCUUCUCUUCUCAGUGGUCUAGGCAAGUCUUUUCUGUUAUUAGCAGGACUUGCAGUUCUCAGUCCCAGAGCCCCAGGCCUCACUGUCCACUGUCCCUCUGCCACAGACUUGUGGGAUCCCGGGUCAGCCUUGCCCCUCCGGAGGAGGAUGGACAAGAGGGUCUCUCAGGCCCCUUCUGGCCCAGGGGUCAGCUUUGGCUCCUCUUUGAUCCUUGUCCUGUUGGUCAGUGGGUGAGGAUGGGCAGAAAAGGCCAUCAUGCCCCUCUGGCCCACCUGGACAAUGAAUUUCCCCAGCUGCCCCUGGGGUACAGUACUGCUGCAUCCCUUGUGCAUGGCGCUGCCCUGCUGUUACUGGCAGUUGUCACGCAGACACUGUUGGGCUGGUAUCUGUGGUUGCCCCCACCGCCCCUCUCUCUGGUCUCCACAGGAAAGGGCCUGGAGAACAAGAAACUCUGCGUGCCUGCCUCUCAGGACCUUUGUGGUGGCCUCCUUGACUCUUUGGAGGACAUCGGAGGCCCUCCGGAGUCUGGCAAGCUCCUCAUCGACACCUCUCCAUCCUGCACAUCCAGGACAGGCAGGCACAACCCAGGCAUGCCCUCCCUAGUGCCCACUCUCUCUCUGCCCUCAGGUUGCUCUUCUAUGGGGGCUUUAACUACCCGCACCUGCCCCUGGCUGGGUGCCCACUCCUCCCCACCCAUCCCAUCCCACAAGCAGGUGGGCACAUCUGGGCAUAUCCUGCCUGCUUCUCAUAAAUGGCGAGCAUUUUGCCAACAGCUGUUCUGGUCAGUGCCCCGAACAGUACCCCAUACGGUGCUGGGCACACUGUGGGUGCCCGCUGCAUAUUCACUGGCUGGCAGCAAUUGCUAA